UGGCGGUUCGAUGUGAUCCUUGCCCCUUCUCUUCCUCGUCCCGCCGGCCUCAUUCUCUGUUACUCUCCCGUUGGCCGUGGCGCCAGGUCGCGGCGGAGGAUCUGGAGCUGAGCCCACGCAGUUGAGGUUGAGGAAGACGGAGGUGAGGGAAGCAGCAACAAGACUGCUGGAUGGUGACGGGUCUUCGUCCCACAGUCCGCUGCUCCUUGUCUGCGCCGUUUCAACUCCAGCUGCAACAAUGCGUCUCCAUGAUCCUUCCCCUCCUCCGGCUUCUCUCCUUCCAUAGCUACUUAUGCUGCAAUAGUUUCAGUGCAAGUAUAGUCAGGACAGGGAGGCAGAAGAGAGGACAUGCUGAAGAAUGAAGGUGGACAAACCAGGUGCACAUGAACAGCAAGGCAUGUUUGGCGUCGUACUUGACCGUGCUACAGAACAACAUCUUGUGGUUCUACCCAAGGGUUGACGCCGAGCACCGGGGCGUACUGCAGGAGUAGCGCCAUGCGUCCUUUGUCAACGUCCAUAGCAUCAAGGACCUCCUCACGCCCCUGUGCAGAUGGCGCUCGCUCGUGAUCACAGGAAACCGAACGACGCAUGUGCCCGUUGUCUGUCAGCGCCGACAAGGUUGGUUCUAUGUUAAGGCCCUGCUUCCUCACGUAAGAGGGCAUGAUU